rnacentral:rRNA from 1 species
UGGGCUUGACAUCCCCGAACCUGCCGAAAGGCAGGGGUGCCCGCAAGGGAGCGCGGAGACAGGUGGUGCAUGGCUGUCGUCAGCUCGUGUCGUGAGAUGUUGGGUUAAGUCCCGCAACGAGCGCAACCCUCACCCCUUGUUGCCAUCAGGUCAUGCUGGGCACUCUAGGGGAACUGCCCCGGUCAACGGGGAGGAAGGCGGGGAUGACGUCAAGUCAUCAUGCCCCUUACGUCCUGGGCUACACACGUGCUACAAUGGCCGGUACAAAGGGAUGCCACACCGCGAGGUAGAGCUAAACCCAAAAAGCCGGUCUAAGUUCAGAUUGGAGUCUGCAACUCGACUCCAUGAAGGAGGAAUCGCUAGUAAUCGCGUAUCAGCACGACGCGGUGAAUACGUUCCCGGGCCUUGUACACACCGCCCGUCACACCACGAAAGCCAGCUGUACUCGAAGUCGCUGAGAAUCUC